rnacentral:pre_miRNA from 1 species
GGGCUUUCCUUUGUGCUUGAUCUAACCAUGUGGUGGAAUGAUGGAAACGGAACAUGGUUCUGUCAAGCACCGCGGAAAGCACC